rnacentral:rRNA from 1 species
GACGUAGGGCGCGAGCGUUGUCCGGAUUUAUUGGGCGUAAAGAGCUCGUAGGCGGCUUGUUGCGUCGACUGUGAAAAUCCGGGGCUCAACCCCGGACUUGCAGUGGGUACGGGCAGACUAGAGUGUGGUAGGGGAGACUGGAAUUCCUGGUGUAGCGGUGAAAUGCGCAGAUAUCAGGAGGAACACCAAUGGCGAAGGCAGCUCUCUGGGACGGUACUGACGCUGAGACGCGAAAGCGUGGGGAGCGAACAGG